UGGCAAUGCACGUCUGAAUCAUACCAUCAUCAUACGACGUUGCUGUUGUUGCCAUGAUCAAGAAGUGAUUGAUAAAAUGCGUUUGUGAGGUUAUAUCUACCAAUUUUCCAUUGUUUAAGAAUUUGGUGAUGAGUGAAUGAUUGACAAAUUAUUAUGAGUUGACUCUUCAUCAUAAACGUUGUGUAGUGUAGUGCCAAGUGUAAAUACACCUUCAAACAUGGAUGUGGACUUCGAUAACGACCCUGUCGAUCAAAAUUUGCUGCAACUUUUCAGUUGUAUGGGAACAACUGACAAAGAUGAGCUAGUAAAACAGAUGCAAAAACUUGUUGGGGACAAUAUGAAUGCAACAACAGCUUCUUUUUUUCUUGAUAUGAACAAUUGGAACCUUCAGGCCGCAGUGUGCUCCUAUUUUGAUUUCGAACAUUCACUAAAACUGCCAUCUAUGAGCUUGGUCCGUGAUGAGCUCAGUGAUCAGAUUCUAGAAUACCCACCUGGCACUAUUUUUCGUCGUGUCUGGCAGGUGCAAAACACAGGUGAGGAGUCAUGGCCACUGGGCUGUCACCUGCAGUGGGCGGGGGGUGACUCCCUGGACGGCACCCGCGAGCGCAUAGCCGUGCCACCCCUCACACCCUGCGCAUGCGCAAACAUUGCAUCAGCUGAAAUUACUGCGCCCCUCCAGCCUGGCAUCUACAAGACAAAGUUCCGGGUGGCCACGCCUAGCGGUGCAUAUUUCGGAGACAUAAUUUGGAUGAUAGUGACUGUGAGCGAUGCGGCCGAGGCGAUGACCAAUGAGCUGGCCGAUCAGCUGUCUCACCUGAAUGCACUUGGCAACACUGUCGGCUUCCCGUCAACCAAUCCAGCCAAUCCGUUCAGUGCCAACCCAAACGCCAAUGCAAACUCGCACUUACAGGAUUCACUUCAUCCUGGCAGUAACGAUAACAUGUGUUGACCAAUACCCAUUCUGGCCUUGCGAAACAAUACAAUUUAUUAUUAUCUACGCUCAAUACGAAACCUAUCUAGAACGUCCAAGCAGUGAGCGAUCGAUUGUAAAUUAAGUAUUUUUCGAGCUAAAAUAGCUUAAAACAAUAGAUUAUGGCCCAGAUGAAAUUGUUGUGAAUGGAAGGAAAUAUGUUGAGAAAAUGUGUUUUUUUUUUUUUUAAUUUGUAUUCAAGUUGAUUAAAUUUUAACAAUAAUUUUUGUUUACUUUAUUUUCGGUUGAAAUUUGAGUUUUGAAGAAAUAUAAUGAAGUAUUCCCCACUGUCCAAGAUGUUAUUUUAAUUCUUAUUUUAAUGUAUGUAGAGUCAGUAUCAGAUUGAUGACCAUGUUUCUAGUUGAUCUUCGUUACUUGUUAUCCUAUUGGUUUCAUUAACUGGCAUUCCAUAAAUAUGAACGAUUUUUCAUUUCAUGUUUGAAACAAGGAACGAUCCUUCAGUAUCAUCAAGCUAUAUAUAAUUUGGACUGUUGUUUAAAAUUCUAUUCAAAUACAACUAAAAGUUCAAACUAAAAAUUUAAAUAGAACUAAUCUAUUGCAUAAUUUCUUAGCAAUUUAGUAGAGGUUACUAAAAAGUUGUUAUUUUCUUCAAUAUUGAUCUUUAGUAGGUUCUUAUGAUUAUCAUCGAGGUUAUUAAUUUUUAGUGAAUGGAUCGCAAUAAAUUAUGGAUUUUUUUUCAUCUUCAGGCUAUCGCAAAGAUAUUGAUCUCAGGUAUGCAUUUUCUUUUUAACGUUUUAAAUAUUCAUGUUCAUUUUUUUAAAGUCACGAUUGAAAUAUCCGCUGUACUUAGUGAAACUUACGAGUCGUAUCAAUGUAAGAAAGAAUUUUACUGCAAAAUCAUAAGAAUUAUAAUUAUAAUAUUCUUCAUUUCAAAAAACUUAAUUACUCCGUAGCAAGAAUUUAAAGCUGAGAAGAUUUCACUAGGUAUCAUUGUUGAUAGUCUAUUAUUAGCAACUGGAGUAACAAAUAUUGAACUGUUGAAUUUAAUUAUGUUCACUAUUUCCAUGCAAUGUUAAGGUAUGAUUUAUAUUAUUUUUAUUGGAGUAAUUUUGAUUAUAGAAUUAUUGUAACCUUGAUAGAAUGGUAAAUAAGUAGUGGGGUGCCUUGAGGUAAUAUAAUUUAUUAUCUAAUGAAGUAUACACUUUAAUUUCAAUCAAUGUAGAUAACGAUCCGAUAAAAUAAGAAAUUUAUUAAAAAGUAUAAUAUAAGCAUGAUAAGGAGUGGGGUGCCUUAACAUAACAGCCGAAAUCCCUAUAAACUACCACUUUGGACGAACUAAAACAAAUCGAAUUAAAUUAUAAUGAGGCCAAUCAUUUAAAACCUUAAAUCUGUAUUAUUGCACUUUUUAAAUAGAAUCUGUAUUACUGUAAUUUUUCAAUAAAGUCAAUAAACUUCAAAUUUGUUUAAAUAAUAGAAUAUAAGAGUCUAAAUACAAUAUCAUUAAAAAAUUGUUUAAUCAUAAAAUAUCUUGACCGAAUUUCCAAUUAUUUCUAGAAUAAAUAAUUAUUGUAAUAAAGCCCACAGUAACUCUAAUUAAUUCCGCAAAACUAGUCAAACUGUUAAAACUUUUCAAUAAUUACACAUCAAUUAUUCCCCCGGUUCAGUUUGUGAAGACAAAAAGUGAAACAAUAUUUAAGAAAAUAUAAAAUAGAUUUAAAAGAGUUAAGGCUAAGAACUAUUGAAUACAUUUAUUCUAAGAAAAUGUAAAUAGAGUGGGUAAUGCAGUUGAGAUAUGGAAUAGAGGACUUAGGCCUACAUUUGUUUUUUUUUUGUAAAAAAGUAUUUUAUAGGCAUUUCUGUUGAUGUGAAAAUGAUUAAAUCUCCAAUUUCUUGAGACCUCAUAAAGUUCUGAAGAUUUUGAGAGAAAACUAUGCUUGACAUAGGAGAUGGUGUGUUUAAUAGGUAAUUAGAUAUUAUAGGAUACCGUCAUCCUAUUAAAGAGGGUAAUUUAUUAUUGAUCAACCUAUACUAUAUUGAUUAUUAUAAAUCCAAGUGGAAACUUGAACCGUUAAAUAUUAUUUUUGAUAUAAGAAGCAAUAAAUGAACAAACAUUUAGCAUGAAGUUUGGUUGACUCAAUAUUUUUAAUCGUUUUAAAGCAUGUUUAUAUUACAAGAAGGUGUUAUCAGCUUCUGGAUUAUGCUAACUAGUUUUAAUCAUUAUCUGUGGUUUUUACGACAUUUCAAUUUUUUUAAUAUUAUCGCAGAGACCAAUAAUAAAGCAUCUACUAUCAACCACACCAAUUAAGUUCGUUCUAUCAAUUUCAUAUUGUACUUAUAUAUUCUUUUAUACUAACUCAACUAUUCUUUUUUAAUGAUAAUAGCCUUUUAUCUUUGUUCAGAACUUGAAUAUAAAACUAUGAAUGUUAACCAAUACAUAAUUUGAGUUUAGACUGGUAUUUUAUUGUAAAUAUUUCUAUUUUGUGUUGGACUGUAUUAGAGAUAGUUAUGAUUAAAAUAAUAUAGUGGGA
rnacentral:misc_RNA from 1 species